GUGCUUAGCUUCGGCAGCACAUAUGCUAAAAUUGGAAUGAUACAGAGAAGAUUAGCAUGGCCCCUGUGCAAGGAUGACACACAAAUUUGUGAAGCGUUCCAUUUUUUU
rnacentral:snRNA from 1 species